AUUCAACUGACGAGUCCCAAAUAGGACGAAACGCGUGUUCUGGAU
rnacentral:hammerhead_ribozyme from 1 species